GACGAACGCUGGCGGCGUGCCUAAUACAUGCAAGUAGAACGCACAGGAUGCACCGUAGUUUACUACACCGUAUUCUGUGAGUUGCGAACGGGUGAGUAACGCGUAGGUAACCUGCCUGGUAGCGGGGGAUAACUAUUGGAAACGAUAGCUAAUACCGCAUAAGAACAUUUACUGCAUGGUGGAUGUUUAAAAGGUGCAAAAGCAUCACUACCAGAUGGACCUGCGUUGUAUUAGCUAGUUGGUGGGGUAAGGGCCUACCAAGGCAACGAUACAUAGCCGACCUGAGAGGGUGAUCGGCCACACUGGGACUGAGACACGGCCCAGACUCCUACGGGAGGCAGCAGUAGGGAAUCUUCGGCAAUGGGGGGAACCCUGACCGAGCAACGCCGCGUGAGUGAAGAAGGUUUUCGGAUCGUAAAGCUCUGUUGUUAAGGAAGAACGUGUGUGAGAGUGGAAAGUUCAC
rnacentral:rRNA from 1 species